rnacentral:tRNA from 1 species
GCCUUUGUGGUGUAACGGUUAGCACACACGGCGCGUAUUCGUGAGGUCUAGGUUCGAGUCCCGGCGAAGGCA